CCUACGGGUGGCAGCAGUGAGGAAUAUUGGUCAAUGGACGCAAGUCUGAACCAGCCAUGCCGCGUGCAGGAAGACGGCUCUAUGAGUUGUAAACUGCUUUUGUACGAGGGUAAACGCAGAUACGUGUAUCUGUCUGAAAGUAUCUUACGAAUAAGGAUCGGCUAACUCCGUGCCAGCAGCCGCGGUAAUACGGAGGAUUCAAGCGUUAUCCGGAUUUAUUGGGUUUAAAGGGUGCGUAGGCGGUCGGAUAAGUUAGAGGUGAAAGUUGGAGGCUCAACUUCGGAAUUGCCUAUGAUACUGGUAGGCUAGAGAGUAGUUGUGGUAGGCGGAAUGUGUGGUGUAGCGGUGAAAUGCUUAGAGAUCAUACAGAACACCGAUUGCGAAGGCAGCUUACCAAGCUACUUCUGACAUUGAGGCACGAAAGUGUGGGGAGCAAACAGGAUUAGAUACCCGGGUAGUC
rnacentral:rRNA from 1 species